UACGUAGGCAGCAAACGUUGUUCGGAGUUACUGGGCGUAAAGAGUUCGUAGGCGGCAUGACAAGUAGGGUGUGAAAGCCCUCGGCUCAACCGAGGAAUUGCGCUCUAAACUGUCGUGCUAGAGGAACCUAGAGGUGAGCAGAACUGAUGGUGGAGCGGUGAAAUGCGUUGAUAUCAGGAGGAACACCGGUGGCGAAGGCGGGUCUCUGGGCCGUAACUGACGCUGAGGAGCGAAAGCGUGGGGAGCGAACAGG
rnacentral:rRNA from 1 species